rnacentral:rRNA from 1 species
AAGACCAAGGGUUCCUGUCCAACGUUAAUCGGGGCAGGGUGAGUCGACCCCUAAGGCGAGGCCGAAAGGCGUAGUCGAUGGGAAACAGGUUAAUAUUCCUGUACUUGGUGUUACUGCGAAGGGGGGACGGAGAAGGCUAUGUUGGCCGGGCGACGGUUGUCCCGGUUUAAGCGUGUAGGCUGGUUUUCCAGGCAAAUCCGGAAAAUCAAGGCUGAGGCGUGAUGACGAGGCACUACGGUGCUGAAGCAACAAAUGCCCUGCUUCCAGGAAAAGCCUCUAAGCAUCAGGUAACAUCAAAUCGUACCCCAAACCGACACAGGUGGUCAGGUAGAGAAUACCAAGGCGCUUGAGAGAACUCGGGUGAAGGAACUAGGCAAAAUGGUGCCGUAACUUCGGGAGAAGGCACGCUGAUAUGUAGGUGAAGUCCCUCGCGGAUGGAGCUGAAAUCAGUCGAAGAUACCAGCUGGCUGCAACUGUUUAUUAAAAACACAGCACUGUGCAAACACGAAAGUGGACGUAUACGGUGUGACGCCUGCCCGGUGCCGGAAGGUUAAUUGAUGGGGUCAGCGCAAGCGAAGCUCUUGAUCGAAGCCCCGGUAAACGGCGGCCGUAACUAUAACGGUCCUAAGGUAGCGAAAUUCCUUGUCGGGUAAGUUCCGACCUGCACGAAUGGCGUAAUGAUGGCCAGGCUGUCUCCACCCGAGACUCAGUGAAAUUGAACUCGCUGUGAAGAUGCAGUGUACCCGCGGCAAGACGGAAAGACCCCGUGAACCUUUACUAUAGCUUGACACUGAACAUUGAGCCUUGAUGUGUAGGAUAGGUGGGAGGCUUUGAAGUGUGGACGCCAGUCUGCAUGGAGCCGACCUUGAAAUACCACCCUUUAAUGUUUGAUGUUCUAACGUGGACCCGUGAUCCGGGUUGCGGACAGUGUCUGGUGGGUAGUUUGACUGGGGCGGUCUCCUCCUAAAGAGUAACGGAGGAGCACGAAGGUUGGCUAAUCCUGGUCGGACAUCAGGAGGUUAGUGCAAUGGCAUAAGCCAGCUUGACUGCGAGCGUGACGGCGCGAGCAGGUGCGAAAGCAGGUCAUAGUGAUCCGGUGGUUCUGAAUGGAAGGGCCAUCGCUCAACGGAUAAAAGGUACUCCGGGGAUAACAGGCUGAUACCGCCCAAGAGUUCAUAUCGACGGCGGUGUUUGGCACCUCGAUGUCGGCUCAUCACAUCCUGGGGCUGAAGUAGGUCCCAAGGGUAUGGCUGUUCGCCAUUUAAAGUGGUACGCGAGCUGGGUUUAGAACGUCGUGAGACAGUUCGGUCCCUAUCUGCCGUGGGCGCUGGAGAACUGAGGGGGGCUGCUCCUAGUACGAGAGGACCGGAGUGGACGCAUCACUGGUGUUCGGGUUGUCAUGCCAAUGGCACUGCCCGGUAGCUAAAUGCGGAAGAGAUAAGUGCUGAAAGCAUCUAAGCACGAAACUUGCCCCGAGAUGAGUUCUCCCUGACCCUUUAAGGGUCCUGAAGGAACGUUGAAGACGACGACGUUGAUAGGCCGGGUGUGUAAGCGCAGCGAUGCGUUGAGCUAACCGGUACUAAUGAACCGUGAGGCUUAACCUUACAACGCCGAAGGUGUUU